rnacentral:rRNA from 1 species
CCUACGGGGGGCAGCAGUGGGGAAUUUUGCGCAAUGGGGGAAACCCUGACGCAGCAACGCCGCGUGCGGGACGAAGGCCCUCGGGUUGUAAACCGCUUUCAGCAGGGAAGAUCCAAGACGGUACCUGCAGAAGAAGCUCCGGCUAACUACGUGCCAGCAGCCGCGGUAAUACGGAAGGCCCGAGCGUUAUCCGGAUUCAUUGGGCUUAAAGGGAGCGUAGGCGGGCGUUCAAGUCAGCUGUAAAAUCGCGCGGCUCAACCGCGCCCCGCAGUUGAAACUGGACGCCUUGAGUUCACAACAGGCAGGCGGAAUUCGUGGUGUAGCGGUGAAAUGCAUAGAUAUCACGAGGAACCCCGAUUGCGAAGGCAGCCUGCCGGGGUGCGACUGACGCUGAGGCUCGAAGGUGCGGGUAUCAAACAGGAUUAGAUACCCCGGUAGUC